rnacentral:rRNA from 1 species
UACAGAGGUCCCAAGCGUUGUUCGGAUUCAUUGGGCGUAAAGGGUGUGUAGGUGGCGCCGUAAGUCGGGUGUGAAAUUUCGGAGCUUAACUCCGAAACUGCAUUCGAUACUGCGGUGCUUGAGGACUGGAGAGGAGACUGGAAUUCAUGGUGUAGCAGUGAAAUGCGUAGAGAUCAAUGAGGAAGGCCAGUGGCGAAGGCGGGUCUCUGGACAGUUCCUGACACUGAGACACGAAGGCCAGGGGAGCAAACGGG